GGGACUUGGGCUCAGUCACUUUAGAGAGACAGACUGGGAGGCAGGAGAGACUGAAGAGAGGGCACCUCGGCCCGAACCAAGUGGUUGUUAAAGGGGGGAUGGGUGGGUGGAAGGGGCGGAUGGCAGGUUCCCCGGAGAUUCCCUGGCUUCACCCCUUCACCUCUAGUCCUGCCUUCUCGCCACCUCCUUCCUUCCCAUUCCCUCUUAUCUCUGCCAACCCGGAAUAAGAACCAGCGAGAGUUGUACCAAGGGGAACUUCCUAGACUGCCACCUUUACAGCCACCCUCAUUUUGGGGGAUCUUUGCAGGGUGGGUGAGAAGAUCCUGGCCUGGCCUUCCCCACCCCCACUUUUGCUGUCUCUACCACCUCUUUUUGUGUUGGGAACCAGAAUGACCACUGCCCAAGGGAGAAAAGUAUUUGUUUUCGUUUCGUUCGUCUAAAGGAACUUGACAGAAGGUCAGAAGUUCAAAUACUGCUCGCGCGCGCACGAGGCGGCGGCGAGAGUGAUCGGUUGUAGGGAGGCUAAGCUCCGGGUCCCUGACUGGAAGGAUGGCGCGAGGGAAAGGACUUAACUGGGGAUCUCCGUUUAGGGCGCUGAGGCCGAGGGGCCGCGAGGGUGGCGGGGUUGCAGUCCAGGUCAGGCCCGCGGGGCUCCCUGCCUUGCGACUUCUCGCGGCUCAACCCCUGCCUGCGCGCCCUAGAGAGUGAGCGCGCUCGGAGCCCUGCGCUCCGGCCGGGCGCGCUCCGCGCGUGCAGGGUCAGGGACAAGCCGCCGGAGCUCAACCCCCGCGCGCUGAAACCCUAGCCUGGGGAUCGAUAGCGCAGGAGUAAGCCGGGCUGAAAGGCGUCUACCAAGGCUCGGCGCUCUCCCAGCUCUGCGACACGCAGAGGCCCGGCGCGCCGGACAAGGGAGCCGGCCGGCCGAGGACCCCCUUGCAGACCCAUCCGAGAUGAGGGACCCUGCGUGUCCACGACAGGCCUCUUUGCAUUGCCCCCGCCCCCUGCACUUGCGCCCCGCCAGCGCCGCCCCUCCAGCCGCUUGACGCACCUAGCCCUAAAGGUAGGACUUGAAUAUUUUAAUAGGGCAGUAAAAAGGAUGCUGACCUAUAUUUGCAAGGAAACCCAUUUCCAGCUCCAGUCAUACGUGCAUGGAGUUUCAGAAAGUCUCGGUUUGGCUGGAAGAUUGGUAGCCUAGAAAUCUCAAAGGAGGUGGGAUGGGAAGAGAGGCUUUGCCUUCCGUCUAUCCACCCUCGUCGCCGAAUAUUUAUUCGCGUCUAAUUCUUAUGCAAGCAGGUUGAAAAUUAAAGCGAUUGCAAAGCCAGCAAGUUCCAAGUCCCUCCCCUAAGGUACCGCGGGCUCUGGAGAACUGAGGAGCAUCCUUAAAGAAAUAUCAAUACAUUCUCGACCGGCACAAUUGAGGACGACGGGAUCGCAGUCAGGCUACGCGAGACAGUGGGGACAAGACGGGCGACUCUGGAGCUCCUGCCUUUUGUCACAACUGCCCUCUCCUCAGCUUUCCCAGUUACAGUUCUUUGGUAGUGGUGGGGUAAAGGGUGGGGUGGUCUUGGGAGAAAAACACAGAGAAGGGAAAGGUGGGAGCUAGGGGCUGGAAAUGCUCCCGGCUAUGUUUGCAGUGACCUGGAGGCCCCUUGAAGUGUACAGGGCAUCCCCACUCCCUCCAUUUUCUGUCUCCACUCGAAAAGGGCAGACACCCCCAGAGUGAAGGUCUUUCCAAGUUUCAGGGUAGAAUACAGGUAGUUAGAGGAGGUCGUCCCGCGAGACUAACUAAAUGAGACUAAUAAGAUAGAAAACCCCAUCUUCUGGUGCCCCAUUCCACCAAACCCUAAACUUCCUGCUGGACCCUUCACCUCCUUUCUCCUCCCGGAAGAGGAGUGCUAGGUGGGCAGGUGGGUGGGGAAGGAGAGAGCAAGCCGCCUUUCUACCUGCCCAAAGAGCAAACAGAGCAGGGCUGACUGCUUGGUCACACGCACCCCCCCUCCAGGGAAGGAACCCGUUUCCCACCCGCAAUGGGUCUCUACCUGAGUCAUCAGCCGGUCUGCUCCAGUGUUUUCCUCAUCCUUAAAUAUGAUGUCGGGGUUGUAAUUGGGGGUGAGUUCCUUAAAUCGUUCGGAGUUUCUUGUGAUCUUCCCUUCAUAUCGGCCGCUGGCCCCUAGGGUCUUCUCGGCUACGUUGGGGAUAAACUGCUUGUAGGCUAAAGGGGUCAGCUUUUUGGGGUGCCGCCUCUUUCCAAACCCCCUGCCGGGCCCACAGGCCAGUCCGGGGCACACCAGCAGCGAGGAAGCAAGGGCCACCAGAAAACAUCUGGCCAGCAGCAGCAGCAUCUCGUUCGCGGAGCCUGAGGACUUGCGAGCCGUCCCCGCGCCGGUCUGUGCGCGAGCUGGUACGCGCGGGUGUGUGCGUGUGCGCUCCUCCUUGCGCUCGGCUCUCCCUUCCUCGCUCGGCUCGUUCGUUCCCUCUGGCGCUGCCUGGCUCUUUCUCUUCCUAUAUAACCUUGCCUGCUGCUGCUGCAGGAGACUUGUCUCCGAUCCCCACCCAGACAGGGGCUGCGAUGGCAGGCUGCGGGUCGCUGGUAACGGAACACAUCGGAGUUGGGUCUCGAGACGGCAAUUAAAAGACAAAAAGAGCCUGAUUUUAAAUGGUAGCAAGGCUGGAGAGCUUGUGAGACAGGCUGCCUUUCGCACUAUAUUAUAGCUGGCAGGGGCGCAUCUGAUUGGCCAAGCCGCACAAGCUUGUCUUCAGAUGUUAACCCUGAGAAAGACUACAUUUCUCCCCCCUCUGGCUGCUGUGGCUUUAUUUUCACCUGAAGGCUUCCAGUUUGAAAAAAAAAAGAAAAGAAAAGAAAAGUCUUUACUAAGG